AUGCAGUUCUCCAUGUUCAUCUUCCUCCCGGACGAGCGCCACGGGUUUGCCGCCAUGGUGGACAUGAUCACCGCAGCCCCAGGUUACCUCUACAGCAUCCUGCCCAGGACGACGCCUGAUCUCGUCAUCCUCAAGAUGCCCAAGUUUGAGAUAAGCUUCGACUGGGACCUCGAAAGCGACCUCCGCCGGCUGGGCCUAUCGCUGCCCUUUUCGCUGGAGGCGGCCGACUUGCGUGGCAUGUUCGAUAAGAACGACGGCAGGGGCACGGCGUUCCUGACCAAGGUUGUCCACAGGGGCACGGCAGGGGCAAGGCACGGAGGCAGGCGCGAGCACAGCUAG
rnacentral:rRNA from 1 species